rnacentral:lncRNA from 1 species
UUAGCUCCUUUUUGUCCUACUGGCCUCAGUUUAUUUGCUGUUCCUCAGAGGGGCCUUCCCUGACCACCCUGUUAUAAAUAGAUCUCCCUGUAUCCUUUAUUCUCUUUCUCCACCCUUUAUUUGUUACUUUCAUUAAUGUAUUAGAAUUUUUAAUCAUUUUACUUAUUUGUCUGUUUACUGGUAUUUUUAAAAUAUCUAUUUUCCCACUAGAACGUAAGGUCCAUUAGGACAAGAGUCAUGUCUGUCUUGCCACCAUUGCCCCCUGGCCCCUCCCCCCCCCAAGCCUAGCACAGUGCCUGGCAGGGAGUAGAUAGCCAUCAACAUUGGUGGGGGCUUUGCUGGACUGAAGGAAGAAUCAGGUAACUGAUCAAGAGUCCCCUUGAACUUUGGCGCCUGGAAACUGAGGGCCAGAUCUGUAGUGCAGCUGCAGUGACUGCCCAUGUCCUUCAGAUCCCCUGCCAGAUGUGUGUGCUGACUUCUUAUCUGAUUUCACCUUCCUCAGUGGACCCUGUUCGCACUGACCCAUGUAACUGAUGUUUAUAAUUUACAGUAAGAAUCAGACUUUCCGUCAUGAUUUAAAGCAAAUAUGAUGACACUGCAGGCUAGACACAUUGUCUUUGUGUAAUUCCCAGAAGCCAGAACAGUGUAAACAGUGCAACAGAGCUAUGGCAACUGAUGCUUUCUCUUCACCAGGACUGUCCUUCAGCGAGAGCCCUCAGGUGAGGCCCUGGUACCCUUGGGGCUUGGGGCUGCUGGGGGAGCCCUGUGACAGGUGAGCAUUCUGCUGUGAGUGGACAAGGGCUAUGGUUGGUCUGCAUAGAGCUUCUGUGCAAAUUAAGAAAAGGUGCCCCUGUGGGUAGAUGCAGCACUGGGCAAAGGCAAAAGGUUUGGCAAAUGGAGAGUUGUUUGGUUUCAUUCCCCUCUUGCCCCCUUAGUUGAGUGUCUUUGUGCAGUAAACAACCUGCACCACGGUACAUGGAAAGGUCCUGAAUGGAAAAGUCUCUGAGUCUUGGGACUGUCCCACUUGCCUUGGUAUUUGGACCCCUUCCUAUAGGGCCUGCCCAGCAGACAGGACUUCCUGUUGUCAGUCAUUGCUUCCCUCAACCAUAUCAGAGCCUCCUCAACCCUUUGUAAAACAUGGCUGGGAGGGGACAAGGGGCUUGGGGAGAAGGCAACAUUUAUCAGGUGUCUAGCGUGCACCAGUCACUGGGCAGGUGCUGGGUAUAUAAAGGUGAGUGAGUUCUGCCUCUUUCCUGACAGUCUGCUGAAGGGAACAGAUAGGCAAAUAAAGUAAGAACAAAUUCUUACAAGGAAAUGAGUGCAAAGCUGUGGCGACAGAGAGGGGAGCACACGACCCUGACUCAGGAGUCAUGAGUCUUCUCAGAGGACAUACUCUAUGACUUGGGGCCUCGGAGGAGUUUCCAGGCCAACAAGUAAAGGAAAGGCAUUCCAGGCAGGGGGAACAGCUUAUGCAAAGGCACAGAGAUCUGGAACUGCAUGGUUGGGUUGAGGAAAAGAGGCUGCCAAGAAUGUACUCAUGUCCUUCUCCCAUCCACCUGACUCAUCCAUCCAAAGAGGUCCAAUGUCAACUUUUCUGUGAUACCUUCCUUUGCUUCCCCGAGUCCAUCCCCUUAAGUCUCUGACAUGCACAUGUACAUCUCUCAAAGCACCUGGCACCUCAUACCGUAGUCAGGUACACCCUAGUCUCUCACCAGACCCUGAGCUCCCUGAGGGCAGAGGCUGCCCCUGCCUCACCUGUGUGUCCUCUCUCCUCACAAAGUGCUAGGCACAUGUCAAGUGUGGGAGAAAGGUUUGUUAAGUGAAUCGAUUAACAGUGUACCUGAAGCAGAGGAAGCCCAGUGAAGCAGGUCUGGAUGUGAGGCUGGACAGAAAUACUGGAUAAUACCAUGCAAAGGGUUCUGGACGACAGGCACUGGUGGCCAUCAUCAGUUCUGGCUGUAGGGUGACAUCAGGGUCAAGGUCACAUAUGUUUUGUGGUGGUACCAGGGUAUUCAAUCUGGCAGGCAGGUCCUGGCAGUAGGACACCCUGGUGGCCUCCCACCGUCUGGAGCCACACAGGAGCCUUACAUAGGGGAGGAGUCCCCAGGGGGUGGGAGAAGCGCAGGGCUGCCUCAGCUAGGAUAUCUUGAUUAUAGAUGACAAAUAAUAACGCCUCUAUUAUUUCACUUGAUAGGAAGUCCAGAGGAAGGAGAUUUUUCAGUGUAAUAGGGCUCAAUAAUACAGUAACAUCAUCGAGGUUCCUUCCAUUGCACUGCCUCAACUUCAUCGAAACACUGUUGACCCUCACGAUUGCAAGAUGGUCGGAGCAGUUCCAGGAAUUACACUCAGGCCCAUCAGUGCUCAACGGCAGAAAACAGGCACUCUUUCCGUAGUCUCCUUCCUAGAAGCGAGGAAUCCUUUCCCAGAAGUCCCUGAGCAGACCUCUCCUCACAUCUCGUUGGCCAGAAUUGGGUCACAUGCUGACUCCUGCACCAAUCACUGGCAAGAGACCGAUGAUUGGCUUAGACUAAUCAGGGUCCACCCUCUGGAGCAGCGGGUGCGGUUACCCUGCCCUACAGCUGGUGGUGUGGCGGAGGAGAUGAUGCUUAUCAGUGGAAGGCUGUAUCCCAACGUCGGUACCUUGAGAUGGGUGUGUGUGUGCACGCGCACAAGGAUGAGCAGCGUCCCCCCGCCCCGGAAUGCCAGGGAAGGGCAUCCUCCAGGAGAACCAAGAGUGUUAUCGAAGAGGCUAACACACUAGACGGUUCCAAAGGGCGUGGGAGGAAAGGCUUCGUCGGCUGGCCUCAAGUGUUGCGUUAGACGCUGACAGAGUGAGGGCCCAGCCGUUCUGGAGGCUUGAUGAUUUAGCAGACAGGGCAUCGAGGGGGCAGGUGUGGCUGAGUGCGGGGCUGUAGGAGGGAGGCUGUGAGGUCGCGGGAGACUGCGCAGCCUGUUUCACACACUCUGCCCACACACCACACACGCAAAUACCCAUACCGCGCACAGCCUUGCCAUUUACGAUUGUAAACUCCUCAGAUGGCACAAGGCAGCUCUUUGCCCAAGCAACAAAAGAAAGGCCCUGCGUUUUAUUCAGAGAAAUACAGAGGAGUUAUCUGUAUCUUCUUCCCACCUGGACGUCGCAAAAGCCCCCAGCCCCACCCACCCUCAGCCAGGAUGGCUGGAACAGCUGGGGACUGGCUGAGCCAUUCUUUCUCCACGGAGGUAUCUCCAGGAGGGUGGCAGGGCUUUUUACGUGGUGGCUGGCUUCCAAAUGGGCGAGGGAGUGGAUGCUACAAGAGUUUUAAGGUCUGGGCUCAGGAGUUCUAAUAUAUCUCUUUUUUUCCUCCUGGUCAAAGCAAGGCAUCAGGCCAGCCCAGAAUCAAGGGGAGGAGCAACAGACUCUAUCUCUUGGUGAGAGGAGCAGGCCAUGCACACAGGGAUGAGAAGGGUCGUUGGUGGCCAUCUUGGGAAACAAAAGGUCUACAUACAGAACUGGUGAGCGGCAGAGCUGGGAUCAAGCCUAUGGCUGUUUAAUGCCGGGUCCACACUUCAGCAUCACUGAUCAGAUCAUGGAGUUUUUAAGCUGGAAAUGACUCUUGAGAUCAUCUAGUGGUCCACAGCCCUGAGGGUCUUGAGCUGGGUUUCCUCAGAAGCAGACCUUGAGGACCAAUUCGAGUGUCAGUGGCUUAUUUGGGAGGUGAUCCCAAAAAGCCCUGAUAGGGGAGUGGAGAAGUGUGACAGCAAAGGGAUGGAAACUAAAUGAGCAGCUUACCUUGUGGAACCCAGUCUUGCUGGAGACUUCUGGGAGGUGAUGUGGAACACCUCUGAGGGGCUAGGAAGCUGGGGUGUUCAUCCUCUCACUUCCCACGCUGGUGCAUGGGUCCCCUCCCAGACUCAUGGAACUCACCCUUGAUCUGACUUUCCUUUUUGGCCUUGUUCAGGACACCUUCAUUCACUCCCAGUUCUGGAGUCUUCUUUCUGUCAUGGUCCCUGGGCUGGAGAAGCCCUACUGCUGUUUACCGUGAAGUUACAUGCAACAACCUGGCCAGGCUCUUUAGCAGCAGUAAAACUCCAGACUUUUCCAGGGCAACAAGUGGUUCCCUCUGCUUGGAUCUGUAGGCUGUCCCUGCUUGUCCUAACCCAACAGGUUCUUCUGGCUGCAAGAACUAUAAUUAGAACUUGUGGUGGACUGUUACUUUCGUGGCUGCCAAAGAACCAUGCCUCCCAGUGUUCAUAUCCUGGUGUAGAGCCCUCCCGCGUUGACUCUGAGCUCAGCUAUGUGACUUGUUUUAGCCAAUGGGACAUUAGCAAACAUGAUGCAAGCAGAGGCUUGAUAAGUGCUUGUACAUCGGGGGUUUUCCUCUUGCAACCCAGCUGCUGUGCUAUAAGGAAGUCGAAGCCAUCUUGCUGGAGAGAGAGAUCGUAUGAAGAAAACCACACAUGAAGAGAGAGGUAAGCCACUGGAGGAGCACUGAGCCAUUGCACAGAUCUUCUUACGGAGCUGUAUGAAAAUCUAACCUGGCGCUUCUGACUGCUAUGGAACACUCUGAUGUGCAUCUUCCAGCUCCACCUGUUCAUUCUGCUGCGGACGAACACCCAGACAGCCUCCAAUUCCUGCCACUUUAAACAAUACAGUAUUAAACGUCUUUGUUCAUGUCACCUUACAGAGCUGAUAAAACAAAUGUUCACCCAUUUUAUUCACAAACCACAGUGCAUAUCCAAAUGCCUUUAAAUGUGAUGCCAAAAAAAAAAAAAAUCCAGUAAACACACAGAUUUAUAAAGCUGAAUUUAGAUUUCUCACAUUCUCUCUUUAUUUUCAUAAUGAAAAUGUUCAAAAAGUUCAGUUAACAUCGUGACUUUGAAAACACAGAGAAUCAUUUUAGAAACAAAUUAUUUCCUAAUCGGUAUAUACCUCAUGAGGAAAAAAAACAUUAAAAAAAAUCAAAUCUGUUGUAUUCAUUUAAAACAAACACACACUCCCAGUAGAACCUCCCAAGGUUUGUACGGUGACUGCAUUUUUCCAGCUGAGCAAUAUUACGAUGUUUCAGAGGGACUCCUAAAUCACUGAGCACAUGGAUCAGACAGGCCCUUGUUCGCCAGCACAUGGUCUCUGUUCUUGCACAGCCUGCUUCUGCAGCAACAGCAUUCUUCGCUCUCUUUGCAAUUUUAACUCCCACUUGAAAGGGAAAAACAUCAGACACAUCUAUAGACAUAGGAUGGCUCUCAACCUGCCCUCUUUCCCUGUGGGAAGUUACAGCUCUUACAGUGUAUCUCUAACCUGUCAAACUGUCCAACAAACUCAGAGGACAGAGUUUUCGAUGUACUCUUUCAUUCUUUUCCAAGCCCUGACAUUUUUGGUCCAUAUUCCCGUUCAGAUGUGGCAGCUCACCAUUUAGUGGCAGUUCCCACACAGCCUGCUCUGGAGACCUGCUUCCUUGUGAGUUGGUGGCCACUCUCUGGUCACCUCAGUGGGUGGGCAAUCUAUUCCCUUAAAUUUAGUGGGUCUCUGUUUCUUUUACAACCUAGCCCCAGCUCUCUCAAAGGAUUCCAAUGGGAAAUCUAUGAAAAGCUUUCAUAUUUUGAAUCCUUCUCUCCAAACAAACCCUUCUGUAGCUUCUAUUUUGACAUGUUGCCUUCCUGACUCCUGUAGUUAUAGACGUAGGCAAAAAUAGUUUUCCCGGAGGUUCCUGAGCCUUCUACAACUGCUGGGACAGUGCAUAACCUGACCUAUGGCUUGGCGAACCCUUCUGCCUCUCAAUGUGCAAGUGAAGACCUUCACUCUCCAUCAGAGGGCAGUUCACCUAGGGCUGGCUAAACCCCCACCACAACCGGAUCUUCUCUUUUGGACUGAGGCAAGCCGUGUGUGGCUUGGAUCACAAUUUCCUCAGGCCUUAGCCCUCAUGUCCUUCCCACUAAUCCUGGAACCUUGAAACCUCUCCCUCUUUCCUCUAUCUCUGAUGCUUCAGAGUAGUUCUCACCAAUUCUUACUGAAGCCUCCUUUUAAAAAGAUAUGCAAAAUAGCGAGGAAAAUUUUAGGGAUUGUUAAUAAAGAAGGGGAGCUUUCCUACCAGAUACUGAAGUGCCUUAAGCUGUGACAACUGAAACAGUUUAUUAUGGUGUAUGAAUUGGUAGAUGAGUGGAAUGGAAGAGAAAAUCUCAACACAGACCAAGAAUCUAGAAGAAUUUAGCAUGUGGAGAUGACAGCAUCUCAAACUCCCAUAUGUGGACUGACAGUGAUGAAAGAUUGGGUGAUACAAUUUACAAUGUUAGAAGUGCUGGUUAAUCAUUUGGGGGCAAAAUUAGAUCCCUAUCUAAUGCCAAAUAGAUGAAACAUCUAAAUGUUCAAAAAGGAAGAAGGAAAAAGAAGUCAUCAGUAGACUAGAGAAUACUGGUGAAAAUUUAUAUAACCUCAGAAUGAGGAAAGCUUUCUAAGCACAGCAACAAAGGCAAAAACCUAAAGGAAAGUAUUGAUAGAUCUACCCAAACCCCAAAUCAGACACUUCUAUAUCUACAAACUCAUCAAAAAUAAAACUUAAAGGCAAAAUAAAACUGGGGAAAAUAUUAUUGCAUAUAUGGCAAAUUAUUAAUAGCAUUUGUAUAUUAAGAAUUGUCAUAGAUCAGUGAGAAUAAAAGUGAGAGUGAUGUUGAGCCCUACAUAAGGCAUCAUUGUCUGAGGAAGGCUGCCAGCCAAUGGUAACAGCUUGAUUACAUCAGACCCCUUCCUCUCCUAAUGGGGCAGCAAUUUGUUCUUCUUAGAUUUUUAUCUACUGCAGAUAUGGGUUUGCCUUCUCUGUCUACAGUGUGGCUGCCAGCACUCCCAUAUGUGGACUGACAGAAAUGACAUGGUAUUCUGAAUAAAGUGGCCUCAACAUGAGGGACCAAUUUUAUGGAUAAAGUACUGAUAAUGGCACACGCAAUGGCUUCCACUGGCCUUCCCAUACAUCCCAUUAGCUGGAAGGAACCAGCCUAACAUAAUAGUGGAAUGACCUGCAGGGUUGGUGUGCUGAAGUCCAGGAUGCAAUAUGCACACUGAAUGGAUAAGCAAUUGGUAGAGCUGUGUUGCCAGUAGCUAAAAUGCGCAGGUCUGGGGAGCGGAGGAGAGGGGAAGGAGGAAUAGUUGCUCUCUCUAUCGCUCCAGUGACACACUUAAGAAGGCUGUGCUUCCUUCCCUGUAAACUUUGAUUUGGUUGGAUUAGAGGUCCUGUUUCUCAAAGUGUGGAAUGGUUCCAUCAGGGCCCACAGUGAGAGUUCCUCUGAACUUGAAGCUAUGCCUGUGGACCAGGAGGCAUAGAAAGUUAUUAUACUGGUGUCUUAGAGUGGAUUCUACCAAAAGCAGGCCCUGAAACCAGGAUUUGAGUGUGGGUAGUUUAUUUGGGAGAUGAUUCCAGGACAUACCAAAGGGAGGUAGGGAAGUAAGACAGAUGGAGGAAGGAAGCCAAUGUAGGGUGUUAGUGAAUAGGUUGCCGCUGUGGGAAACUGGGCCUCAUUCCUGCUGGGGACCUCUGGGAGGCAUGUGGAACAUGCCUUAGAGUUGUCUUUCCAGAGGAGCAAGGUAUAACUCCCAGGGCUUGAUCCAGGGGCUUCAGCUCUAUGUCCUGUACUGAAUGGGUGCUGAGCAUGGUCUUAAGGCCAGAGGAACCCCGAGGCAGGGAGCACUGGUGUUGGAAGUAAGGAGCUGCUGAGUGCAUGACAGCAGUGGUCUGGGCUUUCUUUCUAUGGCUGUUAAUAACAGUCAUUGUUGUUAUCCUUGUAAUUCCCAUCAUCCCCUUACUUUUCAAGUGCCAGACCCACUGCUGAAGCCUGCUCAUCCCCUUCCUCCUGUGUAGUAACUGGGAUAUUGAGCAUAGCAUGGGUUCUUACCACCAUACUUACUGGCAGAAUUCAGAUCCUUUUUCCCACCAGGCCAGUGAGAGGUCCAAUUCCAGAAUCUCAGCCUGAGUGUCUGCUCCCUUGGGGCACUUCUUGUAUCAAUCAUCCUAGUUUGGGUUCCCCACAAAGCAGACUUUGAGACUAGACUUUGAGGAUGCAUAGUUAACUUGGGAGUGAUCCCAGGAAACACCAGCAUGGAAGUGAGAAGGUGAGACAGGAAAGGGAAGCGGGUCCAUAUCGUGUAUGUUAACAAUCACAGGUCACCACUGUGGGCAACGGGAGAUGGUGUGAACAUGCCUCAGAAUUGUCCCAGUCUCACCAGAGGGGCCACGUAGCUGGGGUGUUUGUCUACCAACUCUUAUUCAUCACUGGUCCAGACUAUCCCCAGGGUGCCCGCUCCUCUGCCUUCUGACCUGUUCUGAGAGUGAGCUGAGCAUGUUCCCACAGCCAGAGGAAGCCUUUGGGUGGGGAGUCUCCAGGGCUUGAGGUAAGAAGCUGCUGUGUGCAUGGGACAGUGAUUGUCAAAUAGUGCUAGUUUAUUGUUGGGAGGUAAUUCUCUGUGGGACUUUGACAUUGCUGCAUGUCUUAUAGGCAGAGGCCCUUGUUCUACACUGGAUUUUUCAAUGAUGUCUACAGAGUUCUUAAUGUAGUCGCAGCAGGAUUGCAGAGAAACCCAACAGAGACAACCUGGAAUCUACACUGAACCAGCAGUCAUACCGAUAGGGGCCCACUGAACACACCCCCGGAUCACUGCAUUCUUUAGGUGACCCCGAGAGCUCCUGGAAGAUGAAGACCUUGAGGUUCAUGGACUCACCUGGAGAAUUUAUCAGAAGAGGCAUCAAAUAAAAGACUCUCUGCAGCCCUGUUGGAAAGGACCAUACCAAGUACUUUUAACCAAUUCAUGCACUACAGAAUCAAAAGGCAUUCACAUUUUUCAUUUAAAAAAGGCUUCUCCACCUGAGUGGGUUUCAGUUCCUAUUUUUGAUACCUGACUUGAACUGAUCAAUGCAAAUAUCUACAAAACAGGAUGAGAAGAAGACGGCAUCUGUUGUAGACAGCUGUCCCAAGACUCCAGACCAGGUCUGUAUUCUCAACCUUGUAGCUCCUCAUUUAAACCUUUGUAAUGCUUAAACUGUAUACCUAUUUUAUAAUGUUCCAUUUAAGGUUUUCAGAAUACUAUCAUACUUAAAGAAAGUGAUUGAUUUGGAACAGACUGGUCUCAAAGGCCAAGCAUUUAUUGGGUGGCUCCUAAUGGAACUUGGUGGUCAUGUGGAACAAAUCUCUAGCCUUGGCUACUGCCUGGAUGGCUAAAACACUGCACCCGGAGCUUCCCUUGGAUGCAAGGAAGGAUUCACACUGAGCUAACACCAGUUGCCAAUCUUCUUCUCUUUAAGGCCAGAUGGGCUCAUUCAGUGUUCCACCGGUAUGGCCACCUAUGGCUAUAUUUGUUGCUUCUUGGGGCUAGAGGAUGUCAUAUCACAUAUAGAAGUCCUGACUAAAUUUACUCAACAAGCCCUUAAUGGUAGUCAAGAAAGAAUAGUGUUAUUAAAUACUAAAAUGUCUUGAAUGGGAAAGACUGUCCUUCAAAAUAGAAUGGCGUUAGAUAUUUUAACUGCAUCCCAAGGUGGUACAUAUAUAAUUAUUCAAACUGAAUGCUGUGCUUUUAUAUGUGGUAAAUCUUCCAGUGUGUCCUCUCUGCUAAAGCACAUGAAAAAGCUAGUGAAUGUCUUAAAUGAAUCUUUUAUAAUUGUAAACAAUGUGAACAUAAGGAAUCAGGUAAAAGCACAUGUACAAUGUUUAUGCAACAACCUAAAAUUAAUUGAAAAAUUAUAUAAUCUAUGAAAUGCUUCCUCUGUUAAUGUAUACCUCUAUGCUUGUCUGACUACUUCCCCCUAAUGUGGACAACUGGGAAAAUAAAUGAGAUAAAAGCAAUGAGGGACAUGAUGGACCCAAGGCAGACAGUAACCACCCUGGCACCAAGGGACAAUAUUUUGAUCAUCAGUGCUUUCUAUUGAAAGAUUAUAGAUCAAAGGGGAGGGGGGAACGAUAAAUAAAUGACAAGCAAAGGAUAUAUUGGAGUAUACGAGAAAGGCAUUUGGGUUAAAAUUAAUUUGGCCUGACCUUGUUUCUCCAAAAGGGCCUGAUGUGCCCUGUUGAGCAUGCAUUGUUGUAUGUCUGCUUUAAACAUACUAUGUCCCCAAAAUAAGAGUGAUACCCUUAAAGAUAGGGAUGUAACUUCCCCCCAUAUUGGCAUUUCUUUAAGGAUAAGCAUCUUUUCCUAAACUAAGGAUUAAUGACUGACCUGCUGUGCUCCCCUUGUGACCACCAACGUGCUGUGCCAGCUAAGUAUCUCAUGACAAUCGUAAAAGGGACAUUCCUAUCAUAUGUGAUGUAUGCUCUUUGUUCCAAGAAGGUAUAUAACCACUCUGUACACCCCAUUUCUUUGGUGCCCUUCCUCCUUUGGGGAAGGAAGACCCUGGGCUAGUCCUCAGAUCUGGCCCAUGAUAAACUCACUCCAAUUUUGAUUUAUAGAUUGAUUAUGGAUUUUUUGUGUCUACAUAGUGAAUGGCCCUGGGAGAUAGAGAUAGUGUCUCCCUCUGAAGCGAAGGGCGGGCAUGUUUACUGCCAAUUAAAAAAGAUUCAGGUUCCCUAAUUCAGGGUUCUUCUCCUGAAAUGCAAGUGUCACCUACACCUCUUUAUGUCACUCUGUGAGACAAAAAAAAAAAAAAAAAAAUGCUGAUAUUCUGGCAUUGCUAUCACUAAGAGUCACAAAGUCCUUUGUCUCUGACCCAGGAGUCUUCUGUUUUCUGCCAGCACCCUUGAAACUGUGACAGGCUAACUUGGUAGCUUGUAAGUAGGAUAUCUUAGACUUGUCACAGUUCUUGAUACUGUGUUAUUUUCAUCUUUACUCAGACCCUAAAUCUACUUGGUUAAACUCCCCCUGUGCUCUUCUCUCAGCUUUGUGUUGUUGCAAGAAUUCAUUCAAGAAUCAUUCAACAACUUUUUAUUGGGGAUCUUUUGUCUGCCUAGUGCUAUUCCAAGGCCUAGAGAUACAAUGGUAAAGGAAGCAGACACAAUCCUCACCCUCUUGUGACUUAUAUUCUAGUGAAGCACUCGUCUGUGCCGUCAGCUUGCUCUCUUUUUUUUGUCCCUCUCUUUCUCUCUAAAUAACCUGAACUGAAAUUCACCAAUGAUACUGAUUCUAUUCCCUCCUCUAACUUUGAAACCAACCACUCCCUCCUCCAGUAAACAGAUUUCUUCCCUGAAUUUCUUUGCAGAUCAAUACUACCAAUUCUUCCCACUUUAAGAGUGAAAGGCUAGAUUCUGUUCCUGACUCUGCCACUAACUCCAUGAUCUUGGACACGUCACCUUUAUUUUCAUAAGCCUUCGAUUCCUCAUCUGUAAAAUGAAUGAAAUGGUGCAUAUCCUGCUGAGUGAUUGGAGGGGUUGGAGGAGAUCACGUAUACAAUCAGGAAAUUUCUGUGCAGCACACAGUUGCUGUGUGCUCUCCACACUAAGAGCAACCACUAAGUUGCCGUCUCCCGUUCCAACCCUAGCCCGGUCCUCAGUAAGGAUUGGUUGGAAAGGAGGAACCCAGGCGCUUCUAAUUUUCAACAUUUCUCUGAUUUCUGAUUUACUGCUGCUUAGACCUCAUGUUGUAUAUGCCCUGCUUUCAUAGCUUGCUUUCCACACAGUCCGCUCAGCCUCUUCCUGCCCUUAAUAUGGUAUAAAAACUAACAAAUCCACACAGAAAAUAUGACUUCCUGCAGCCAGCAGCAGCUCCAGACAAUUCAUCACCAAAUAGACUAGAAUAACACUAACUUUUGCUACCAUAGCAACUGCUAUUGGUUGCACAAUUGCUGACUUUUGAAGCUACUUAAAAAUGUGCCAACCGUUUUGCAUAAAGUGGCUUUACGUCACCAAGAGCAGUGGUUUUCAUCUCCCCUCAAGAUUCUGCUUUAAGAAAUUGUAGCUUUUCCACCCUUAGAAGCAUUUCAUAAUUUAUUUUUUCAAAGAACCAUUUUAAAACAAAGUUUUGCCAGUGGUUUCUUCAUGCCCGUGUAAGGGCAAAUACAAAUUAAAAAUAAGGGGCUUACUUCUUCUGUUGAAGUAAAAAGAGACUUGCUCCUUCCCUUUCCUUAGAACCUUUACUUUAGAAAACUUGUCAUUGUGUAAGCUGUUUCUCUGUCUCCCUUUGAAAUGCGUGCAAAUCUUUUUUUAAAGCUAAAUAAGCCUUUUGCCAGCUUUAAGACCUAGGAAUAUCUUUCUCAAGGACCUGGGAACUGUCUCUUAAAAAUGUCACCUUGAGGAAGCUGAUGCCCGACCUGCCAGCUCCUGUGGGAGAAUAGGAGCCUCCGAGCUGCAGAACUGCCUCCUGCCAUAAAGAGACGAGAAGCUUAUGUUUCCUUUGGACAAAGGCAAUCAGUUAACACAGAUGGCCACCCCAGCUGCCAAGUGAAUUUAAGAUGAGCUAUGCGUGACAAAUGGUGCUGUCAAGUUUUUUUACUUGAGGACUAGUUAUUGUUUAGCUUGAGAACACCUAUGUAAUGGAUUGUAUCUGCUUGGCUCUGUAAAAGGGUAAGAUUCCUUUCUAUCUUUGCGAUCUCUUAGUGAAUUGCCUGAGAUGCACAUCACAAUCUGGUUUAAUACUUAUUCAAUAAUAAAAUUGUUUGCUUUCUCUUCUAC